UGCUACGGCCAUGCCACCCUGAUGUCUGAUCUUGAAAGCCAAGCAGGGUCGGGCCUGGUUAGUACUUGGAUGGGAGACCACCUAGGAAAACCGAGUGCUGUAGGCG
rnacentral:rRNA from 1 species